GAUGAACGCUAGCGGCAGGCUUAACACAUGCAAGUCGAGGGGUAACAGGGAAGAGCUUGCUUUUCCGCUGACGACCGGCGCACGGGUGAGUAACGCGUAUAGAACCUACCUUUUACAGGGGAAUAGCCCAGAGAAAUUUGGAUUAAUGCCCUAUAGUAUUAUUGAAUGGCAUCAUUUAGUAAUUAAACAUUUAUGGGUAAAAGAUGGCUAUGCGUUCUAUUAGCUAGAUGGUAAGGUAACGGCUUACCAUGGCAACGAUAGAUAGGGGUCCUGAGAGGGAGAUCCCCCACACUGGUACUGAGACACGGACCAGACUCCUACGGGAGGCAGCAGUGAGGAAUAUUGGACAAUGGAGGCAACUCUGAUCCAGCCAUGCCGCGUGCAGGAAGACGGCCCUAUGGGUUGUAAACUGCUUUUAUACGGGAAGAAACCCAACUACGUGUAGUUGGCUGACGGUACCGUAAGAAUAAGCACCGGCUAACUCCGUGCCAGCAGCCGCGGUAAUACGGAGGGUGCAAGCGUUAUCCGGAAUCAUUGGGUUUAAAGGGUCCGUAGGCGGGCUAAUAAGUCAGGGGUGAAAUCCAACAGCUUAACUGUUGAACUGCCUUUGAUACUGUUAGUCUUGAAUUAUAUGGAAGUAGAUAGAAUGUGUAGUGUAGCGGUGAAAUGCUUAGAGAUUACACAGAAUACCGAUUGCGAAGGCAGUCUACUACGUAUAUA
rnacentral:rRNA from 1 species